CUAGGUUAAUAGUCAUGCGAUUCAAGUGACUUUUAAAAUAUAUAAUUACUGAAGCCAGAUAGAAUCUUAACAUUCUUGUGGGUUUAAAGGUGAAAUGUUUCAAAGGAUUGGGAAUGAACAUAUUAACAGAGAGGCUGUGAAGAAAAUGAAAGAGCUGACAGGGGCCAUAGAUCCUGACUUUCUACGGCUGAAUUCUGCUUUCAGCUCAUAAUAACUGUGGGCUCUUAGGCCUCAAUUCCCUCAUGUGUGAAAUGGAACUGUGAUUGGUAACCACCUCUUCAGAGUGUUGAGUGCUGAAUGAGAUAAUUAUCUUAAAAGUUUAGCCCAGAGCCUGCCUAGGAGCAGUUCUGUAGUGAUUCAUUAACAAUAUCUAAUCUUACUGUAACAUUAGGCAGAGAGCACUUUUCCGAGCAAGAGCAAAUGGAGUCUAGUUCUGUCCCUCCCUUUGCCUUGAAUCCAGAUUUCAGAGAGUGAUUCAUCCUAAGUCCUGCUUCUCCCUGUAUGGCAUGUGAACCCAUCCGGAUUCCUGGAAACUGCAUUCUAGUUGUUUAUCUCAGCAGGCUGAGCCGUGACCAAAGGCUCAUGACUACUAUCUCAAAAACAGUUCCAGAAGCUGGGAAGUUCAAGAUCCAAGUGCUGGCAUCUGGUGAGAGCUUUUGUGCUACAUCAGCUCACGGCAGAAGGUGGAAGGGCAGGUAAGUAAACAAGAUAGAGAAAACUGGGCCCAAUGCACCCUUUUUCAGGAGCCCUGUCCGGUGACAACUAACCCGCUCUGGUGAUAAUGGCAUCAAUCCACUCAUGAGGACAGAGCCCUCAAGGCCUAAUCACCUUUUAAAGGUCCCACCACUUAACACCAUCACAAUGGCAACUAAGUUUAACAUGAGCUUUGAAGGCCACAUUCAAACCACGGCACUAGGUUAUAGGAUGAACACUGGAAAGAUGGAGCCAUGUUUAGUUCCUUGGUGUUUUAAAAUAUUUAAAUAGCUCACAGAUUGGGUAUUUCUCAAAAUUAACAUCCUCCUUAAAAAUGAAUACUCUCAACCUCUGCUAAGUCCUUUUAUUAUUAUAACCUCAUUAAUUGUGGUAACACUUUUAUGAGAAGGGCCAUAGAG
rnacentral:lncRNA from 1 species